rnacentral:rRNA from 1 species
AGUGAACGCUGGCGGUAGGCCUAACACAUGCAAGUCGAACGGCAGCACAGUAAGAGCUUGCUCUUACGGGUGGCGAGUGGCGGACGGGUGAGGAAUACAUCGGAAUCUACUUUUUCGUGGGGGAUAACGCAGGGAAACUUACGCUAAUACCGCAUACGACCUACGGGUGAAAGCAGGGGAUCUUCGGACCUUGCGCGAUUGAAUGAGCCGAUGUCGGAUUAGCUAGUUAGCGGGGUAAAGGCCCACCAAGGCGACGAUCCGUAGCUGGUCUGAGAGGAUGAUCAGCCACACUGGAACUGAGACACGGUCCAGACUCCUACGGGAGGCAGCAGUGGGGAAUAUUGGACAAUGGGCGCAAGCCUGAUCCAGCCAUACCGCGUGGGUGAAGAAGGCCUUCGGGUUGUAAAGCCCUUUUGUUGGGAAAGAAAAGCAGCAGGUUAAUACCCCGCUGUUCUGACGGUACCCAAAGAAUAAGCACCGGCUAACUUCGUG